UACGUAGGGGGCAAGCGUUGUCCGGAAUCAUUGGGCGUAAAGAGCGCGUAGGCGGCCCUGUAAGUCCGCUGUGAAAGUCAAGGGCUCAACCCUUGAAUGCCGGUGGAUACUGCAGGGCUAGAGUCCGGAAGAGGCGAGUGGAAUUCCUGGUGUAGCGGUGAAAUGCGCAGAUAUCAGGAGGAACACCGAUUGCGAAGGCAGCUCGCUGGGACGUCACUGACGCUGAGACGCGAAAGCGUGGGGAGCAAACAGG
rnacentral:rRNA from 1 species